AAUGAACGCUGGCGGCAUGCCUAAUACAUGCAAGUCGAGCGGAGUGGCGGACGGGCGAGUAAUGCCUAGGUAUCUGCCUGGCCGUGGGGGAUAACGUCCGGAAACGGGCGCUAAUAUCGCACACUAUCAGAUGUGCCUUGGUCGGAUUAGCUAGUUGGUUGGGUAAAGGCCUACCAAGGCGACGAUCCUUAACUGGUCUGAGAGGGUGAUCGGUCACACUGGAACUGAGACACGGUCCAGACUCCUACGGGAGGCAGCAGUGGGGAAUAUUGGACAAUGGGCGAAAGCCUGAUGCAGCCAUGCCGCGUGUGUGAAGAAGGUCUUCGGGUUGUAAAGUACUUUCAGCGGGGAGGCGUUACCCACAGAGGAAGCACCGGCUAACUCCGUGCCAGCCGCCGCGGUAAUUC
rnacentral:rRNA from 1 species